AGUUUUGCAAAAACCCAAAAUCCCUCAUCUUUCCCAAAACCCUUUUUCCCAAAUCAGUUCGACCCCCUCCCCGAAAUCCCUAAUUUUUUCCCAAUCCCUUUCUUUUUGUCACAGUUGCCCUUCAAUUCUCUUUAUUCCAACUGAUUCUUCGUUUCCUUUCCUUCGUUUCCUUUCCUGUCCAUAGAUUUCAAUGAUCAUAAAGUUAGUGUGAUUCCAAUUUGGCUGGAGGAAUUCCUGCUCAACUGGCAAAUUUGGUAGCUUUCAUACACUAAAGCAAUACACAGAAAGCCUAGAUAACCAGAAGACUUCAAGAACUAUGAAAUGGACAGGUCUUGGAUGAAUUUGUCAAGGGUAAGCAACGACUAUCGAAAUGGAGUACAAACUUUUCUAAAUUUUGCAUUUCAAAAUGCAAGCGAAGAGAAUAUGAUUCUUUGCCUGUGUAAGAAGUGUGGCAACAUCAAUUGGCAUUUUCGUGAAGUUGUCUACGAACAUCUAAUUGUUGAUGGGUUUAUUCGGGGGUACAAAAAAUGAAUUUUCCAUGGAGAGUGCACACCUAGUAGAACCUCUUCAACGAUUAAUCCGGCUUAUUCUCAUAGUGCUUACCAUCAGUCUGUUAGAGAAGAUGACAUGGAAGGUAUGUUGCAGGAUGCGUUUAAUAUGCGCAGUCAUGGUUUGCAAUCGUUUCCACCUGACUUUGUUGCAUCCGAUGAUUGUAAUCUUAGUGGAACUACUUUUACUGAAAUGAGAAAAAGUGUACCUGAUGAAGAGCUGAAUGAAUGGAGAAGCGGUAAAUUUCUACACGUUACUUAAUGAAAUGAAUGAAGAACUUUAUGAGGGAUCAAAAUUUUCAAAAAUGUCCUUCUAUAUUCGUAUUUUUCAGUUAAAAUGUUUGGGAGGGUGGAAGGGAAACUCUUUGACAAUGUUGUUAAAGUUAUUGAUAGAUAUGUUUCCGUUUGUAAAAAUCCCUCAUUAAUGCAAAGAUAUGAAGAAAUUGAUAAAAGAUUUAGACUUUGGGUACAACAAAAUUCAUAGUUGCCCAAAUGACUGCAUAUUGUGUUGGUGUGCUAAUUUAUCGAUGGAUGUAUCCUAUAGAAAGGUUCCUAUCCAAAUUGAAGUCUUAUUGCCGUAAUAAGCGUUAUCCAGAAGGAUCAAUUGCUGAAGGUUACUUGGCAGAGGAGUGUAUGACUUUCUGUUCUAGAUAUUUAGAAAUGUUGAAACAAGACUGAAUAGACCAAGUAGAAAUGCUGGGCUCACUGAUCAUAACUUGGCCGAAACUUAUUUAUUUUAAAGUUAUGGAGAACCAAUCGACAAAGUUGAAAUUGAAGAAUUAGAUGAUAGAUCGUGGGUACAAGCACAUCGAUAUGUUCUUUUUCACCAUGAUUCAAUGGAACCAUUAUGCAAAAGAAGAUUGCGAGAUCUAAGUAUUGUUCAAAGUACUCCAAAUUCGGAAGAAAGAAAUAGUGAACAACAGACUGCUAUUGGAUCUUCGAAUGUUCCGAAUACACCUGAUGAACCUGUAGAAAUUCAAACUGAAAGUGAUUGGACGCGCAGAGGUCAAGGACGUACGCUACUUAAAGAUUUAUACGAGUUAAAUCCUGUCGAGCAUGUCAAAGUAUCUAGAAACAAUCUUGGUCAGCCUGUUGGAUCAGAAGCUUGACUUUUAGCAGGAUAUUUGGGCAUUAUAGCACGAAAUGCCAAUAUGUUGCCUAUCAACUACGAGUCAUGGCAUCAACUUGUGUUUAAGUUUCAUUUAUAUUUACUUUUUAAACUUGUAUUUUUUGUAGGAGAGGUUUGCUUUAGAGGUCUCGGAUAAUUAUGUCAAGAAGGUAUUGGGAAAAAGAUGGAGAGACCAUAAAAGUAAUUUAAAGAAUGAAUAUUUUAAGACAAAAAUAACUCUCGAAGAGAAAUUACGAAAUGUCCCGCCGGGAAUGCUGAGGUAUCAAUGGGAAAAUGCGGUUAUAUUUUGGAAUUCAAAGAAAUGAGAGGAUCGUGAACGAGUUGGAACAAGUAGCAGGCAAAAAAAGAAAUUCACUCACACAGCUGGGUCGAAAAGUUUUGCUUGUGUAGCUGAUGCCGAGGAACUGUCGUCUGGUCAAAAAGUUGGACGCCUUAAGCUUUUUGACAUUACACAUAGGAAGAAAGAUGGAUCUCCUAUGACUUCUGAAGCUACAGAAAUUAUGGAGAAACUAAAGGAUAAAAAGGCGGAGUAUGAAGCGAUUGCCUCGAGUGAUAGUUCUGUUUAUCUUGACGACAUUGAUAAUCGGAUUAUUACUGAAGUUUUGGGUCUUGAAAGGUAUGUUCGGGUUGGAUUUUAAGGGUCUUUUGUUAACCCAACCCAAUAUUUUAUAUCCAGCUCACAGCAAUACAUGCCUUCGGGGAGUCAGGCUCAACCUGAAGUUCAGAGGUUAAGAGACUAGAUGGCACAGACGCAAGCGAACACAGAUGAGAGAAUUGCUCAACUUAAAGUGGAAGUUGAAAGAAAAUAUGAAGAACUCCAGCUACAACUUAAAGCGGAGGCAGCAACAAGGGAAGCAGAACAGAGCAAAAAGUACGACGCACUCCAGCUACAGCUUCAGAAUAUGAUGAAGAUGUUUUAGCAGUCGCAAAAUCUGCCAUCUUAGACUAUUAUAUGAAUAUUUUUAACAUUUUAACUUUUAACAUUAUUGUAAGAAUAAUUUGAAUUAUACUUUAUUUAUCAAUUUAUAUCAUAUAUCUUUCAUUGAA